AUUGAACGCUGGCGGCAGGCUUAACACAUGCAAGUCGAACGAGUGGCGGACGGGUGAGUAAUGCUUGGGAAUCUAGCUUAUGGAGGGGGAUAACUACGGGAAACUGUAGCUAAUACCGCGUACCAUAGUAUGAGCCCAAGUGGGAUGAGGUAGUUGGUGAGGUAAAGGCUCACCAAGCCGACGAGCUCUAGCUGGUCUGAGAGGAUGAUGAGCCACACUGGGACUGAGACACGGCCCAGACUCCUACGGGAGGCAGCAGGGGGGAAUUGUGCACAAUGGGCGCAAGCUGAUGCAGCCAUGCCGCGUGUAUGAAGAAGGCCUUAGGGUUGGAAAGGUCUUUCGGUAGCGAGGCGUUAACUACAGAAGAAGCACCGGCUAACUCCGUGCCAGCAGCCGCGGUAAUUC
rnacentral:rRNA from 1 species